rnacentral:rRNA from 1 species
UGGGGAAUUUUGGACAAUGGGGGCAACCCUGAUCCAGCCAUGCCGCGUGAGUGAAGAAGGCCUUCGGGUUGUAAAGCUCUUUCGGCCGGGAAGAAAUCGCUCAAGCUAAUACCUUGGGUGGAUGACGGUACCGGAAGAAGAAGCACCGGCUAACUACGUGCCAGCAGCCGCGGUAAUACGUAGGGUGCGAGCGUUAAUCGGAAUUACUGGGCGUAAAGCGUGCGCAGGCGGCGCCAUAAGACAGAUGUGAAAUCCCCGGGCUUAACCUGGGAACUGCGUUUGUGACUGUGGUGCUCGAGUGCGGCAGAGGGGGUGGAAUUCCACGUGUAGCAGUGAAAUGCGUAGAGAUGUGGAGGAACACCGAUGGCGAAGGCAGCCCCCUGGGUCGACACUGACGCUCAU